AGAGUUUGAUCCUGGCUCAGGACGAACGCUGGCGGCACGCUUAACACAUGCAAGUCGAACGAGAGAAGAGGAGCUUGCUUUUCUGAUCUAGUGGCGGACGGGUGAGUAACACGUGAGCAAUCUGCCUUUCAGAGGGGGAUACCGAUUGGAAACGAUCGUUAAUACCGCAUAACAUAAUUGAACCGCAUGAUUUGAUUAUCAAAGAUUUAUCGCUGAAAGAUGAGCUCGCGUCUGAUUAGCUGGUUGGUAAGGUAACGGCUUACCAAGGCGACGAUCAGUAGCCGGACUGAGAGGUUGAUCGGCCACAUUGGGACUGAGACACGGCCCAGACUCCUACGGGAGGCAGCAGUGGGGAAUAUUGCACAAUGGAGGAAACUCUGAUGCAGCGAUGCCGCGUGAGGGAAGAAGGUUUUAGGAUUGUAAACCUCUGUCUUCAGGGACGAAAAAAGACGGUACCUGAGGAGGAAGCUCCGGCUAACUACGUGCCAGCAGCCGCGGUAAUACGUAGGGAGCGAGCGUUGUCCGGAAUUACUGGGUGUAAAGGGAGCGUAGGCGGGAUCGCAAGUCAGAUUUGAAAACUAUGGGCUUAACCCAUAAACUGCAUUUGAAGCUGUGGUUCUUGAGUGAAGUAGAGGUAAGCGGAAUUCCUAGUGUAGCGGUGAAAUGCGUAGAUAUUAGGAGGAACAUCAGUGGCGAAGGCGGCUUACUGGGCUUUAACUGACGCUGAGGCUCGAAAGCGUGGGGAGCAAACAGGAUUAGAUACCCUGGUAGUCCACGCCGUAAACGAUGAUUACUAGGUGUGGGGGGACUGACCCCUUCCGUGCCGCAGCAAACGCAAUAAGUAAUCCACCUGGGGAGUACGACCGCAAGGUUGAAACUCAAAGGAAUUGACGGGGGCCCGCACAAGCAGUGGAGUAUGUGGAUUAAUUCGAAGCAACGCGAAGAACCUUACCAGGUCUUGACAUCGUAUGCAUAGCUCAGAGAUGAGUGAAAUCUCUUCGGAGACAUAUAGACAGGUGGUGCAUGGUUGUCGUCAGCUCGUGUCGUGAGAUGUUGGGUUAAGUCCCGCAACGAGCGCAACCCUUACUGUUAGUUGCUACGCAAGAGCACUCUAGCAGGACUGCCGUUGACAAAACGGAGGAAGGUGGGGAUGACGUCAAAUCAUCAUGCCCCUUAUGACCUGGGCCUCACACGUACUACAAUGGCUGUCAACAGAGGGAAGCAAAGCCGCGAGGUGGAGCGAACCCCUAAAAGCAGUCUUAGUUCGGAUUGUAGGCUGCAACCCGCCUACAUGAAGUCGGAAUUGCUAGUAAUCGCAGAUCAGCAUGCUGCGGUGAAUACGUUCCCGGGCCUUGUACACACCGCCCGUCACGCCAUGGGAGUCGGUAACACCCGAAGCCUGUAGUCUAACCGCAAGGAGGACGCAGUCGAAGGUGGGAUUGAUGACUGGGGUGAAGUCGGAACAAGGUA
rnacentral:rRNA from 1 species